AUUGAACGCUGGCGGCAGGCCUAACACAUGCAAGUCGAACGAGUGGCGGACGGGUGAGUAAUUUCUGGGAAACUGCCCGAUGGUGGGGGGUAACUCCUGGAAACGGUAGCUAAUACCGCAUACCAUCGGAUGUGCCCAGAUGGGAUUAGCUUGUAGGUGAGGUAACGGCUCACCUAGGCGACGAUACCUAGCUGGUCUGAGAGGAUGACCAGCCACACUGGAACUGAGACAAGGUCCAGACUCCUACGGGAGGCAGCAGUGGGGAAUAGUGCACAAUGGGCGCAAGCCUGAUGCAGCCAUGCCGCGUGUAUGAAGAAGGCCUUCGGGUUGUAAAGUACUUUCAGCGGGGAGGCGUUACCCGCAGAAGAAGCACCGGCUAACUCCGUGCCAGCCGCCGCGGUAAUAC
rnacentral:rRNA from 1 species